rnacentral:rRNA from 1 species
UACGUAGGGACCGAGCGUUGUCCGGAAUCAUUGGGCGUAAAGAGCGUGUAGGCGGCCUUUUAAGUCCUGCGUGAAAUCCUGCGGCUCAACCGCAGACGGUCGUGGGAAACUGGAAGGCUAGAGUGCGGGAGAGGAGAGUGGAAUUCCCGGUGUAGCGGUGAAAUGCGCAGAUAUCGGGAAGAACACCCGUGGCGAAGGCGGCUCUCUGGAACGCAACUGACGCUGAGACGCGAAAGCGUGGGGAGCGAACAGG